rnacentral:rRNA from 1 species
GACGAACGCUGGCGGCGUGCUUAACACAUGCAAGUCGAGCGGUAAGGCCCUUUCGGGGGUACACGAGCGGCGAACGGGUGAGUAACACGUGGGUGACCUGCCCUCAGCUCUGGGAUAAGCCCGGGAAACUGGGUCUAAUACCGGAUAUGACUCCAUGACGCAUGUUGUGGGGUGGAAANCCUUGUGCGGCUGAGGAUGGGCCCGCGGCCUAUCAGCUUGUUGGUGGGGUGAUGGCCCACCAAGGCGACGACGGGUAGCCGGCCUGAGAGGGCGACCGGCCACACUGGGACUGAGAUACGGCCCAGACUCCUACGGGAGGCAGCAGUGGGGAAUCUUGCGCAAUGGGCGAAAGCCUGACGCAGCGACGCCGCGUGAGGGAUGACGGCCU